rnacentral:rRNA from 1 species
AGAGUUUGAUCCUGGCUCAGAUUGAACGCUGGCGGCAUGCUUAAUACAUGCAAGUCGAACGGUAACAGAUUCUUCGGAAUGCUGACGAGUGGCGGACGGGUGAGUAAUACAUAGGAAUCUGCCCAUGUAGUGGGGGACAACUUGGGGAAACUCAAGCUAAUACCGCAUAAUUCCUACGGGAUAAAGAGGGCCACUGCUUGCAAGCUCUUGCUACUGGAUGAGCCUAUGUCGGAUUAGUUAGUUGGUAAGGUAAUGGCUUACCAAGACAGCGAUCCGUAGCUGGUUUGAGAGGAUGAUCAGCCACACUGGGACUGAGACACGGCCCAGACUCCUACGGGAGGCAGCAGUAGGGAGUAUUGGACAAUGGGCGCAAGCCUGAUCCAGCAAUGCCGCGUGUGUGAAGAAGGCCUGCGGGUUGUAAAGCACUUUCAAUUGGGAAGAAAGAUUAUGAGUUAAUACCUUAUAA